rnacentral:rRNA from 1 species
GAGUUUGAUCCUGGCUCAGGAUGAACGCUGGCGGCGUGCUUAACACAUGCAAGUCGAACGAAGCACUUUACUUGAUUUCCUUCGGGAAUGAUUGUUCUGUGACUGAGUGGCGGACGGGUGAGUAACGCGUGGAUAACCUGCCUCACACAGGGGGAUAACAGUUGGAAACGGCUGCUAAUACCGCAUAAGCGCACAGCACCGCAUGGUGCAGUGUAGAAAAACUCCGGUGUGUGAGAUGGAUCCGCGUCUGAUUAGCUGUUGGCGGGUAACGCCACCAAGGCGACGAUCAGUAGCCGGCCUGAGAGGGCACCGGCACAUUGGGACUGAGACACGGCCCAGACUCCUACGGGAGCAGCA